AAGUCGAGCGGACAGAUGGGAGCUUGCUCCCUGAUGUUAGCGGCGGACGGGUGAGUAACACGUGGGUAACCUGCCUGUAAGACUGGGAUAACUCCGGGAAACCGGGGCUAAUACCGGAUGGUUGUUUGAACCGCAUGGUUCAAACAUAAAAGGUGGCUUCGGCUACCACUUACAGAUGGACCCGCGGCGCAUUAGCUAGUUUGGGGGUAAAGGGUUCCCCAAGGGAAGGGUGGGUGGCCGCCCCUGGAGGGGGUUUUUGGCCCCCUUGGGCCUGGGACCCCGGCCCCAUUCCUUCCGGGAGGCCCCCAUUGGGAUUCUUCCGCAAUGGACGAAAGUCUGACGGAGCAACGCCGCCUGAAUGAUGAAGGUUUUCGGAUCGUAAAGCUCUGUUGUUAGGGAAGAACAAGUACCGUUCGAAUAGGGCGGUACCUUGACGGUACCUAACCAGAAAGCCACGGCUAACUACGUGCCAGCAGCCGCGGUAAUACGUAGGUGGCAAGCGUUGUCCGGAAUUAUUGGGCGUAAAGGGCUCGCAGGCGGUUUCUUAAGUCUGAUGUGAAAGCCCCCGGCUCAACCGGGGAGGGUCAUUGGAAACUGGGGAACUUGAGUGCAGAAGAGGAGAGUGGAAUUCCACGUGUAGCGGUGAAAUGCGUAGAGAUGUGGAGGAACACCAGUGGCGAAGGCGACUCUCUGGUCUGUAACUGACGCUGAGGAGCGAAAGCGUGGGGAGCGAACAGGAUUAGAUACCCUGGUAGUCCACGCCGUAAACGAUGAGUGCUAAGUGUUAGGGGGUUUCCGCCCCUUAGUGCUGCAGCUAACGCAUUAAGCACUCCGCCUGGGGAGUACGGUCGCAAGACUGAAACUCAAAGGAAUUGACGGGGGCCCGCACAAGCGGUGGAGCAUGUGGUUUAAUUCGACAACGCGAAGAACCUUACCAGGUCUUGACAUCCUCUGACAAUCCUAGAGAUAGGACGUCCCCUUCGGGGGCAGAGUGACAGGUGGUGCAUGGUUGUCGUCAGCUCGUGUCGUGAGAUGUUGGGUUAAGUCCCGCAACGAGCGCAACCCUUGAUCUUAGUUGCCAGCAUUCAGUUGGGCACUCUAAGGUGACUGCCGGUGACAAACCGGAGGAAGGUGGGGAUGACGUCAAAUCAUCAUGCCCCUUAUGACCUGGGCUACACACGUGCUACAAUGGACAGAACAAAGGGCAGCGAAACCGCGAGGUUAAGCCAAUCCCACAAAUCUGUUCUCAGUUCGGAUCGCAGUCUGCAACUCGACUGCGUGAAGCUGGAAUCGCUAGUAAUCGCGGAUCAGCAUGCCGCGGUGAAUACGUUCCCGGGCCUUGUACACACCGCCCGUCACACCACGAGAGUUUGUAACACCCGAAGUCGGUGAGGUAACCUUUUAGGAGCCAGCCGCCGAAGGUGGACAGAAUG
rnacentral:rRNA from 1 species